AACAGGAAUGUCUCACCAUAGAGUAGAAACUUACCUGAAAGUUUGACUCAGUCACUUGCUAACAGACUCAGGAAAGAAGUGUUAAAAAAAACACUCUCCAGCUACAUCCUCUUAAAAGGUCACAUCACCACAUCGAAGAAAAAUGCCUCUCAGUGAUAUGUUUUUAAAAAUUUGAAAAAUGGACCUAAAAUUCAGAUAUAAAAAUAUAUUGUUGUGGCUGAAUAUACAAAAAAAUUAAUUAUAUGCACGAAAAAUGAGUAUAGGAAAAUAUAUUUAAUUUAAGUACAAAGAUUAUGGGUGGUUUUUCUUAUUUUCCAUCUGACUAAAAUUGUAUUUGUAUGAUAAUAAAAUAUAGAAAAUAUUUGUCUUUGUUACUCUUCUGUUGCUGUGGAGUGACCAAGACAAGGUAUAAAAGAAAGCAUUUAACUAGAAGUUCACUUACUGUUUCAGGUGCUGAUCCACGACCAUCAUGGCAGGAAGCGAGGUGGCAGGCAGGCAGGCAUGGAUGUUCAAAGCUUGCAUUCUGACUCACAAGUUCAGGCAGAAAGUAUGCCUGGUAUGAGCUUUCUUGACCUCAAAGCCCACACCCUUCCAGUAGGCCACACCUCCUAUACUGUCCCAAAAUAGCUCCGCCAACUAAGGACCAAGCAUUCAAAUUAUGAGCCUAUGGUGCCUUCUCAUUCAAACCAUCAAAAUAAUUUCCUGCAUAGGAGCCAAAUUUUCAACAGCUCUAAAGUCUUGUUUCUUUUAAAUGAAGGGGGCCUGUAAUGGAUGAUUGGUAAAGAACUAAUCCCUCCAAUUGCUACCAACUGCAAAAUGUCAGAUAUCUUGGAGACAUGUUUUUUUCAUUGCCAUCUAAAGUGGGCUGUUCUUUGGUGGAAUGUACACUCUGUGGUAAGCUUCCCAGGAAGACUACCCAUUGAGAAACCUGACAUUCAAACUGAGUUUACAUGUUCUGUAGGACAUUUACUAGUAAAUUAACAAAAUCAACUGGGAGAUUAGAGGUCCCAAGCAAGUCUCUUGAAUUCAUUUAAAUAGAUCAAACCGAAAGCAAUCUGGGUAGUAAAUUACAGACAUGGAUGCUGGAGUGACCCUGACCUUGGAUGUUAAAGAGAAAUAGCUUGGUAUGGUUGGCACUCUGUAACAGAGAGAAAGCAAGCAAACUUUUUCCCACAUACUGACUCUGUGCCUUUGCAUAAAUAGAACUAUUUGUUUUGAAAGAGCCAAACAAAUUACCAUUUUAAGAUGCCUUAGAAAUCUGUUGAGGUUGGCAGUGGUACCAUUUAUCAAGCAACAUCAUGAAAAUUUCUCAUUUGCUUCCUAUACUGUGUUUGUGUAAACUAGUGUUAUCUGUUUUACGAUACAAAGGGAGAAAUGUUGCUCCAGGUUUUGGUUAUAUUUCAUGUGUCAUUCUAACCGAGUUUUGGUAAUGCUUGGAGGAUUUUGAAAAGAAUCCUUCCAGAAUGUUUUUGCACAUCAUUAAAACAUGUUUAUCAUGUCAAGAAAAUAAAUGAAUUGAUGAGUGUUUAUAUGAAAUAAGACCUUUUCUCAACAUAUAGACUAAUAUUUAAAAUAAUGUAUUCAAGUAAAAGUAUAGGAACUGUAUCUCUUGUGUCAUUGUAGUUCCUUCUUAGAAGGAAUAGUAGCUGUCGGAGGUAAAUAACUCUGCUUUAAUUCACAUCAGUAAGUACUUCAGAGUUGCUAUGUCAGAAGGAAAUUCUAUAAAUUGUUGCCUAAAGAAGCAUCUAUACUAUUCUAUUACUUUCUAACUACCCUUAAAUAAAAUAAAGAAACUAAAAUAGAAAAACGUUGAAAUCUCAUUACAGUCAAACUUUUAUGGAUAACUGUUCCUAAAAUUACAGUAUUUACCUCUUUAAAAUAUUUUCUGUCUUUUUGUAUUUCUCUAUAUGUGUAUUUUUAGCCAAAAAGUGACAGUAAUGAAUGUUCUUCCACAGUUACUUUUUCUACUUAAAAAUAUUUUCCUGUAUCAUUACAAAUAUUACCUAUAUGUACAACUCUAACUGAUUUACUGUGCACAAAGAAUUGGAUUAUGGAGAGCUAUUUUAACUAGUUCCAUACAGUGUGCUGAUAAUAUGCACAGUUUUAUAAUUUUGAAUUAAAUUUUUAGACUCCUAGAAAGUUUUGGUGUGGCAUUUGUCAUUCAUAAAUGUUGUUCUAGUUCCUAUUCCCCCUCCCUUCCAUCUUCCUCCAGUUAAUUUCUCCUGCAUUUACACACAUUAUUUCCAUUACCCUCUCUUAUUCCCACUUCAUCUCCUUUAUUACUCUUCCUCUCAAAGUUCCCAUUUAACUUUCAUAUGUACUUUCAUGUAGGUGCAAAUAUUGGGGGGGGGGGCAUUGUGUGUAGAAAGAAAGAGAAGAUGAAGUGGAGAAGAAGGAAUAGAGCGAGACCACAUAAGACAGAACACUUAAUCUCUGUAUUUCUGAAUCAUCUACCUUAGUAGAUAUCAGGAUUUCAUCUUUAUAGCUGAAUAAGAUCCCAUUGCAUUAUGUACCACAUUUUAUUUUCUUUUUUCAUUCAUUUCUUAGCUGAUGGUUUGGCUAGUGAAGAUUGGGGGAAAGAGGAAUAUCAAUAUCAGUAUACU
rnacentral:lncRNA from 1 species